rnacentral:rRNA from 1 species
UACAGAGGGGGCAAGCGUUGUUCGGAAUUACUGGGCGUAAAGGGCGCGUAGGCGGCCGCCUAAGUCAGACGUGAAAUCCCUCGGCUCAACCGGGGAACUGCGUCUGAUACUGGGUGGCUUGAAUUCGGGAGAGGGAUGCGGAAUUCCAGGUGUAGCGGUGAAAUGCGUAGAUAUUGGGAGGAACACCAGUGGCGAAGGCGGCUACCUGGACCGGUUCUGACGCUGAUGCGCGAAAGCGUGGGUAGCAAACAGG